GUGGCUCAGUGGUUAGAGCACUGGUUGCCCUUCCAGAGGUCCUGAGUUCAAUUCCCAGC
rnacentral:tRNA from 1 species